UGCCAAAGCUCAGAACUGUACAAGGAC
rnacentral:piRNA from 1 species